GAUGAACGCUGGCGGCGUGCUUAACACAUGCAAGUCGAGCGAAGCGGCUGAAUUGAUUCUUCGGAUGAUUUUCAGUUGACUGAGCGGCGGACGGGUGAGUAACGCGUGGGUGACCUGCCCCAUACCGGGGGAUAACAGCUGGAAACGGCUGCUAAUACCGCAUAAGCGCACAGAGCUGCAUGGCUCGGUGUGAAAAACUCCGGUGGUAUGGGAUGGGCCCGCGUCUGAUUAGGCAGUUGGCGGGGUAACGGCCCACCAAACCGACGAUCAGUAGCCGGCCUGAGAGGGCGACCGGCCACAUUGGGACUGAGACACGGCCCAAACUCCUACGGGAGGCAGCAGUGGGGAAUAUUGCACAAUGGGGGAAACCCUGAUGCAGCGACGCCGCGUGAGCGAAGAAGUAUUUCGGUAUGUAAAGCUCUAUCAGCAGGGAAGAUAAUG
rnacentral:rRNA from 1 species